rnacentral:tRNA from 1 species
GCCUGACUGGCUCAGUUGGAAGAGUGUGCGACUCUUGAUCUUGGGGUUGUGGGUUUGAGCCCCACGUUGGGUC